GACGAACGCUGGCGGCGUGCCUAAUACAUGCAAGUAGAACGCAGUUGCGCACGGGUGAGUAACGCGUAUGUAACUGCCUCAUAGCGGGGGUUAACUAUUGGAAACGUUAGCUAAUACCCCAUUCUGUGUGCUGUACCUUCUUUGUAUUAGGUAGUUGGUGAGGUAAAGGCUCACCAAGGCGACGAUCAAUAUCCGGGCUGAGAGGGUCGUCGGCCACACUGGGACUGAGACACGGGCCAGACUCCUACGGGAGGCAGCAGUAGGGAAGCUUCGGGAAUGGACGGAAGUCUGACCGAGCAACGCCGCGGGAGUGAAGAAGGUUUUCGGAUCGGAAAGCUAUGUUGUUAGAGAAGCGGGAACUAAAGAGAAAGGAACGGCUAACUACGUGCCAGCAGCCGCGGUAAUAG
rnacentral:rRNA from 1 species